rnacentral:tRNA from 1 species
UAUAGAGGCUUACUACUGUUAAUAGUAAAAAUGAAAUAAUUUCUGUCUAUUU